CUCACGCACUGCGUUGUAUGGAUGAAGAAAACUCUCUGCAAAAUUUUGAUUGAUUGGAAAUUGGUUUGAUCUAGAAAUUCCGAAUUUUCGAAGCUCAACGGCUUUGAAUCGGCGAGUUCGCGCUGAAGUUUGAUUGCAAUCUAAAAAUGAAGAUGAAGAUCAACAAAGCUUGCGACCUCAGCUCCAUCUCUGUUCUUCCUCCUCAAUCUAGGAGAUCGAGUGGGGUUACCGGUGGAUUAGAGUCUUCUACAAUCCUAGGGAGAAACCAAACAGCAUCACAGCUUCGGCCACAACAAUCUCAGAUGUCACUUUCACAGGGAGUUUCUUCUCAGCAUGGCGUCUUCUCUCAGUUUUCACAGAAUUCACAAGACGACGUCCUGACUAAUGAGAAAAUAGGAUCUCAAGAUAGAGAGAGUUCAGCGAGGAGGACAAGCUACUUGCCUUUAAUUGAUUCUGCACGAGAGGAGAAUCAGAUUAUUGCAUCUAGAACUUCCAACCACUUGAUGCGCAAGUGGUCUAGUCAAGAAAACAAAUGUCAUAUUAAUGAAGAGCUCGAACACAGAAUUGGAAUGAUCGAAAAUUCAUUGAGCAGGCUUGGACUGAUCUUGGACUCUGUUCAGGGUGACAUCAUGCAAGUAAACAAGGGUAAUAAAGAAGUAGCAUUAGAUACAAAAGACAUGCGGCAGAAAUUGAACGCCCAUGAUGACUCCCUGCAGCUGAUGAAUAAAGGACAAGAAGCCAUCAAAAGUUGCCUGGACAUGGGUUUGAAAUCUCUGUCUGAUCAACUCAAGCAGAUUAUGAACCAAGAGAGUUUAGGGUUGAUAAAGUCAUCUCUGUCAGAUCUAUCAGAAAAAAUUGAAAGUCAAAUGGUGAAAUUACAAAAGGACCUGCACAAGGAUGUCUGCAAAGAAAUACAGGCAUGUGCAAUUUCUUGCAGCAUGAAGAUGCCCACUCAGAAACAAGUAGCUUCCUCAACAAAUGGGUCAAAAGCAUUCCUCUCUGCAACUGCUGUCACCUGUCACCCUUCUCCUCAGGAAGUUCAGUUUCCAGACAAUACAACAAGGCAUUUAAAAACACGACAAAUAACUCUACCACCAAAGGCCAAGUUGGGAGGCUGGACAUCAGUAAAGCAAGAACUUACAUACCCUAAAACUGGAAACCAUAGUAGGAGAAGUGACCAAAAAAAGGAAUGCAAGAUUGUUAUUGAAUCGGAUGAGGAAAUUGAUGUCGGUUUUUCCUGCUUGUUCAAGGAAAAGGGAGCAGAAAUAGAUAAAUAUUCAAUAGAGGAAGCCAAGAAUGAAACUGCACGUAUCCUAAGGAAAGCCAGGAGGAGAAAGAGAAAAUAUUGCAACACCAUUAUCAUAAAUUGAAGUGUGGUUGUUUCAGUUAAGAAUAUUGAAGGAGCUAAAAUAAUGUCGGUAGAGUCGCAAGAUAUUUCUGACGUGGCAGAGGGUUCUAUCUGCCAGAGCCCUAAAAAUAAUGAUUAUUUCACACUAGUCCUUCCCCACAGCAGGAUUGAAACUCAAGUGCUGAACUCAUCCAUCAAAAUGACACAUCCACAAUAAAUCUUAAUGAUCGAAUGGUUGAAAAUGGUUUUCCGAUCUUAUUUUAUUUAGUGGUUCUUAUUUGAACCUCUCCCUAUGUGCGUAUAUGUAUUUUUUCGAGUAGGAUCGACAUAUAACCUUCUUUACGUGAGUGAAAAAUUGACAUACCGUGCAUUUGAUUUUAUGUCAUAAUUAGUGUAUACCUCCUGCGCGGUGUGUGGUGCUUGUGA